GGAGGAGAAGGAGGCACAGGAAGAGCAAGAGAGUUUAUCUGUGGGUGAGACUUCGAGCUGGCUUCUUCGAGCACCUUGAGAAGUGGUUUGACCAGUGUUCCCUCAACACCCGGGUCACCGUGGCCACCAAAAUCAAUGAGCUGGAUUCAGAACUGGAGCUGCAUCUGCACCUGCACCAGCCAAGAGCCCAGCAGAUUGAAAAAGACAUCCACAACGUCAGGGCAGGUACAGAUGCUGCCUGGGAAUGUCUGCCCUGCCCGCAGCCACUCCUUCAGCGUCUGCUCCACCGCGGCUCCAUGUUCAUUAGCUGCCC
rnacentral:lncRNA from 1 species